AGAGUUUGAUCCUGGCUCAGAACGAACGCUGGCGGCGUGCCUAACACAUGCAAGUCGAACGGAGGUAGGGAGCUUGCUCCUUACUUUAGUGGCGCACGGGUGAGUAACGCGUAGAUAAUCUGCCUUAGACCUCUGGGAUAACAUCUCGAAAGGGGUGCUAAUACCUGAUAAGCCCACGAUCGCCCGCAAAGUCGUUGCGGGAAAAGGGGGCCUCUGUAUAUGCUCUUGAUCUAAGAUGAGUCUGCGUACCAUUAGCUAGUUGGUAGGGUAAGAGCCUACCAAGGCGACGAUGGUUAGCUGGUCUGAGAGGAUGAUCAGCCACACUGGAACUGAGACGCGGUCCAGACUCCUACGGGAGGCAGCAGUGGGGAAUUUUGCGCAAUGGGGGAAACCCUGACGCAGCAACGCCGCGUGAGUGAUGAAGGCUUUCGGGUCGUAAAGCUCUGUCUAGAGGGAAGAAGUG
rnacentral:rRNA from 1 species